AGAGGGUGAAACUCCCGUCCGCCUCGGUAGAAUAGAGUCUUUGUUCAACGAGUCGAGUUGUUUGGGUAGUUGUCAGCUCUAGUUUGGUUGGUAAAUUACCAUCUAAAGUUAAAUAUUGGUGGGAGACCGAUAGCGUACAAGUACCGUGAGGGAAAGAUGCAAAGAACUUUGAAAAGAGAGUUAAAGAGUACCUGAAAUUGCUGAAACGGAAGCGAAGGAAACCAGUGUUUGUUGGUUCAUAUUUCCUUGGCCACUUGUGGUUUGGGCGCUGUGAACUUGCGUGGGUUUGGGUUGGUUUGGAUCCCUUUGGAAGAGCGCAGUCAGAGUUGAUGUCU
rnacentral:rRNA from 1 species